UACGGAGGGUGCAAGCGUUAUCCGGAUUCACUGGGUUUAAAGGGUGCGUAGGAGGGCAGGUAAGUCAGUGGUGAAAUCUCCAAGCUUAACUUGGAACUGCCGUUGAUACUAUCUGUCUUGAAUGUUGUGGAGGUGAGCGGAAUAUGUCAUGUAGCGGAUGAAAUGCUUAGAUAUGACAUAGAACACCAAUUGCGAAGGCAGCUUACUACAGGGAUAUUGACACUGAGGCACGAAAGCGUGGGGAUCAAACAGGA
rnacentral:rRNA from 1 species